CAGAAGCUAAAGACUCCACUGUCCCAGGCACCCUGCCUGCCCCCGGAUUCCAGUGGCUCCACACUGGUUUGCUGAGAAGCGCGCAGGAGCGUGGCUGUGCCUGGGUGGCACUGCAGACCUGCUGUGGUGGGCUACAUCCAGCUCAGGGCUUGAGCUCCUGCACCUUCCAAGGUACCAUGAGGAGUAGGACCCACUCCCAUCACCCACAGGCUACCAAAAGGGCAGGCGUUGUGGGGGGGGUGGCCAGAAACUGGAGGUGGCCAGAAACUCUGGGGGGAACGGAAAGCACAACAGUGGUAGCCACAAGAGAGUGCCCCCAGGUGGGCUGGACUUCUACACCUUACUCAGCCCUGGGGGCAGGCGCUGCUGGUGACCCUAUGGGAAGCCUUCGUUUGGGCUGAGCUCCUACCCUAGGCCCCAGCAGACCAGACCUGACCAAGAUGGAGUCAUCAUGCUAAAUUCCACUUAACUGAAUUGGAACUUCAGGUAGGCAGGUGGGCCCCCCAAACAGGACAGGUUUUCCAGAAAACAGGAGAUUCUGGUCACCUGAGGCAGCACCACGAGGAAGGCCCCUCAGUGUCAACCCUUGCUCCAAAAAGUAACUGGAGGCCAGCCAGUUAUCUCCUGUUCCCACCCCACAAAGGGACAGUCCUGCCAUGCCCAGUGGCUCUCCUGUCUAAGGGCGUGGAAGACCGCAGACUCCUACAAGUAAAGGCCAGAUGGACAUCAAUCUGUACCUCAAGCCGCGGGAUUGUGUCUGGACAGCAUGACCACUGUCCCAUCCACAGAUGCAGAAAUCGAGGAUCAGAAUAUUUUUAUCCAAGGAAAUAAUGGAGGAAUAAUGGAGGGGUGGGGUCUUCUGCUCCUCCCCACGUUCCUCCUGCACCACUUUCUUUAAAGGUGACUUUUUAAAUGGCCCUGGUUCCUGACAUUGGCUAAAUAGGGCUGUCCUGCAUGA